rnacentral:rRNA from 1 species
AUUGAACGCUGGCGGCAGGCCUAACACAUGCAAGUCGAACGAGUGGCGGACGGGUGAGUCAUGUCUGGGAAACUGCCUGAUGGAGGGGGAUAACUACUGGAAACGGUAGCUAAUACCGCAUACCAUCGGAUGUGCCCAGAUUGGAUUAGCUAGUAGGUGGGGUAACGGCUCACCUAGGCGACGAUCCCUAGCUGGUCUGCGAGGGUGACCAGCCACACUGGAACUGAGACACGGUCCAGACUCCUACGGGAGGCAGCAGUGGGGAAUAUUGCACAAUGGGCGAAAGCCGGAUGCAGCCAUGCCGCGUGUGUGAAGAAGGCCUUCGGGUUGUAAAGCACUUUCAGCGGGGAGGCGUUACCCGCAGAAGAAGCACCGGCUAACUCCGUGCCAGCAGCCGCGGUAAUUC